UUAAUGAUAUAUAUAAGACAUUUGGUGAAUCUGGUUUUGGUUCUCCAAUAAACUCCGGUGGUCCCAGCUCCUUGAACUAUUUAGCAGUGACCGUCCGAGAGUUGCCAGUGUUUCCACCUGCAUUUUGAAUAGGAGCCGCUCUCGCCUGAUGUUGCAUGAAUUUCAUAAAGCCUCUGAACAUCCCAUCGUUCAUUAUUUGGUCAGCGUUGUUGUUUUCUUGAUGAUUAUUGC
rnacentral:lncRNA from 1 species